CACGGCGCACGGGUGCGUAACACGUGGGUAAUCUGCCCUUCGAAGGGGAAUAACUCGCCGAAAGGCGAGCUAAUUCCGCAUAACAUUCCGAGAACCUUGGUUUUUGGAUUCAAAGGCGUAAGUCGUCGGAGGAGGAGCCCGCGCACGAUUAGCUAGUUGGUAGGGUAACGGCCUACCAAGGCUAUGAUCGUUAGCUGGUCUGAGAGGAUGGCCAGCCACACUGGAACUGAGACACGGUCCACACUCCUACGGGAGGCAGCAGUGGGGAAUCUUGCGCAAUGGGCGAAAGCCUGAUGCAGCGACGCCGCGUGGGGGAUGAAGCUUCUCGGAGUGUAAACCCCUU
rnacentral:rRNA from 1 species